CAGAAUCUUUUGUGAUGACAGUUGGAAGUUGGAGAGGAAACCAUCUCAUCCCAACUGUGAUCUCACUACUAGACGGCAGUGCUGAAAGCACGCAGAGCUACAUGAAGACGGGCUGACGUUGGCGUGAAGGCCGGAGACUGGUAAAACAGCAGCAUCUGCCACCCAAUGAGAGCAAGCUGGCCCUGGCUGCUCAGAGUCCAUCAAGAGCAGCCCUAAGUACAUGAUCUCGCCCUCUUCUUUCUGAGAAGUGACCCAUGGAAUCCAGUAUAAAUGUUGAAGUGAAGAACUGCACCUGAUAAACUUGCAUUUUCCUUUUUUUUUUUUUUUUUUUUUGUAUUUUUAUGUGUGUGAAUUGUGUUGCCUGCAUAGCGGUGUGCACCAUGUGUGUGCCUGGAGUCCACAGAGGUCUGAAGAAGACACUGGCUUCCCUGGGACUGGAGUGACAGAUGCUUGUGAGGGGCCAUCUGCCAGAGCAGUCAGUGCUCUUACCCAGCUCCCGACAUGGCUUCACUAUCAUCAUGAGCAACUCCCGCUCUCGACCAAGCUUUUCUGUAGCUGUGUUGUGUCUGGCAGCAGACACUGAGCUGAAGCAGCUUACUGACAAGAGUUGUUGGGUUUUUUAAAUACAUUUAUUAACCAAUGUUAACACAGUAAAUGAAAUCUAUAUAUUGCUAGUCAGAGCAGCUUACAAAAUGCCAGAGGGCAUCAUAGAACUGGACAGCCACAAUGGUACUUACAGUGUGCAGAGCGGGACACUCAACACCUUGAUAGAGCUUUAGGAUUGCAGAAAAAUUUAAUGAGUCCUAAAACAAUCAAUUGUAAUUUUACCUAAAACUUUUACAAAACCAGGCCACAAUCUCUUUUUUUAAUUUUUUUUUUGUUGUUUUUUUUUAAAACACACAGUUUUCACACUGUAGUUACUUGGAAAUGUGCAGCCGUGUCGACAGAGACAAGAAGCCAAAGUAACAGGGACCUCACGUUCAUGCAGCUAUCAGAACGCAACUGAAAUGAAGACAGCGACAGAUCAGAUCCACACAUAGACAAGGCCUCACUGCUGGGAUUAGGCUCUGUGCCCACUAUUUUGGUCCACAUAAAGGCUGUUAGCAAGAAAGUAUUACUAAUGUAAACUAUGAGGAAUACUGGCUCAGCCGCUCCUGUGAGAAGCUUUGCACUCUCCACCGCCCCCCAGCAAUGCACAGCCCCACCUUUUCCAGCGCUUCACGGACCACUCUCUCUGUUUCCCGCUUGUGGUCCGACUUCAUCCUGUCUUUAAAGUCAUUAAAAAUUUUGGUGUACUU
rnacentral:lncRNA from 1 species